GUAUAACAAGGGGAGAACAGUUAGUGCUGAUUUCCAUUUGCAUAAAUUUUCAUAUAUUUUGGUGAAAAUAAUAGACGGGCGGCGAGAGCGGGGCUCGGCGGAGUCAGUGAGAGGGAAAAGCGGAGCGGGGAGAGCCGCGCUGGAGCCGAGAAGGCGCGGUGUGCCCCCGUCACCCCAUUAAAACCCCAAAUUAAAGCAAAAACGUAUCUCCUCAGUGCUGCGAGUGCGCUCGGCCCACUCUGUUCUCCAGCCUCGUUACAUGGGUUUCUGUCUCUCCUCAGCAUCCCCUUGAAUGGCAUCUACUGCACAUAACUUUUUCAGCCCACAAAGCUGAAACGCUUUUUGUGACUCAAAUGGCUCCAGCACAGCUAUUCCCUAGAAGAUAUCCUCCCUGAUUUCUUGUGGUGCCUGUUAGAUUGCUGAAGUUGCAGGUGAGUGUAAACAUGGAGAAGAGGGCCUCUAUUCUUACAGUGCUCUGUUGUGAAUGAAGUCUCUAUCACCUUUUUGACAGUUCAGAGAUAAACCAGAUACCAGAAUAGAGGAAUGUUUCUCAGAAGGACCAGUGAGACAUCUCCUGACCUCUGUCUCCAUCUGAGGAUAUAUCUGGAGUAGAACAGAGAAGCAAAGGCACCACAGACUACAGAUACCCAUGGGGAAUAUUGUUCUGCCUUAAGGCUCAGCUCUACAACAUGGCCAUGGCCAGAUGAGGAUGGACCUUGUAUACUUAUAGGUUCCUGUGAGUGGGUGAAGUGGGUGAGGGUUUCUACAGAGGCUGGGAACAGUCUGAAGGGAUGCUAAUCUGGGUGGUGGGGGACUGGGACUCCAUGACAUACUGUUGCAGAUCAAAAGAUAAGUCUAGUUGCAGACAUUGAGCCUUUGGUUUUCUUGCCUUCCUUCUAACCUGUUUUCCCAAGAAUUUAUUUGUCUGCUUUUUCCUUAUCUGCAGACAGGGCUAUAAGACAUACCAUACUACAGCAAAUAUGGCUACUCGCUCCAUGCUGGGCUAUGGGAAAAAGUUUUGCACAGCUCUAAUAAAACAGGUUAACAGCUACAAGUUUAAAAACCUCCUAACCUUCCCUGGACCUCAGAAGGCCCAGUUAGGAUCCCUCACCCAUCUUGAUUAUCUGUAAGUAGAUCAGACAGCAUCUCAUUUCUUAGACAUAAAUGUUCAGUGGUGUUCUGCAGUUGCUUCAAGAGUAAAGAAUCUUCCUCCUGGCUCCUUCUGAGCAGUCACUGGCAUUGGUCAACCAAAACACACCUUGUCUUAGCCAGAAGCCAGUAUCAGAUAAUAUGAAAGGGAACUCCCCCCUCCUUCCCGGGUAUUUAUUUGAGGGUAUAACAGUAUAUCAUGGAAGAUGAUGCCUUUCUGACUCCAUGUAUUGACUAGCUUUUACCAAGAACUACUGACACUAUUACAUAAUACUUGCUAGUAAAAUUCUCACAGAUUUUUUCAAGGCCGGGAACAACCAUUGUUAUCAUCCAGUCUGAUCUUCUGCAUAAUAUAUGCUACUGAACUUAACCCAAUCUGAACUUGGUAUGUAGAUUUGCUUUUAUGUCUAAAAAUGCCUCCUCAUUUACAAAUAUGAUACUGUUUCACCGAGUACUAUCUGUGCAGCAGCAAGUUCCAUUAAUUAACUGUACAUUGUUUGGAAAAGCAAUACCUCUUAGCCGUUUGAAAUUCGAUCCCUCUUCGUUUCACCUUGCAGGAUAGGAAAGGGUUUUUAUUCCUUUGCUGCUAAUUAGGUUGGAGGAUCAUGAGGACAAAAUGUUAUUUAUAUUAUAGUCAUGCUUAAGGAGAGCUCUGACGAAGCCUGGGGAUCUCACUGCACAAAGUGAGGGAGACUGUGCAAUUGCUUCAGGACUGAGACUGUUUGAGCAGACGAAUGGCACAUUUUCAAAAGAGCUGAAUGAUUUCACCAAAACGAAUGUCAGACAAGUCCGUGGAUUCAUACUUCUCAAUCACCUAUACAUUUCUGAAAAAUCAAUCCAAAGUUUGAAGGAAAUAAAGGUAUGGAAAAACAAAGUCCCUGAAGCCAAGACCAAGAAAUAAGUCUGGUAUAUAGUCACCAAAAAGAAAAACGUGGUGCUAAUAUGCAGCUCUGUGUGCACUGCCCAUAGGUCAGUUUGGCUUCCAGAAGCUCAUGGUGUUAAAGUCCUCCCUUUAAGAGAGCAGGGUACACUGGGGAAAGUACAACGUCUGCUGCAUGCACAGUCCCCUAAUCUUUUGCCUAGGGGCCAAGGACAACUACAUUAACUCAGGCAACAGUGGUUAUCCAAGUUUAUGGAAAGGGUUCACGUAAGAUUUGCAGUCCCAUGAGGGUCAAUCUGCCUUGAGAGAUAGGCUGCGGUUUGUGCUCUUUCUCUCUUCUCAAGGAAAUUCCCCAUCCUUUUGACUUCUAUCAUUUUUUAUUGCCAUUCUCUGGACUUGUUCUAUUUCUACUUUCUUUUUUACAGGGAUGAGGUGACCAAAUUUGAAGACAGUAUUCAAAGUGAGGAUGUGCCACUGAUUUAUAUAAUGGCAUUAUAAUAUUUUCCAUAUUAUUCUCUAAAACUCUUUUCUUCAUACAAACCCCUUAAGAUUCUUUUUAAUUCUUUGAACUAUAGUGCCUUUUAACAUCUGUAGUUUACUCUGAUCAGAUUUUGACAAAGGAAUAAAAGGCUCCAUUUUUCACAUAGAAUUUUAUUUAUUGUUUGAACUUUAGAGGAGAAAUUGGUUAACUUACAAUUUAAAAUUCUUGGCAAUGUAGACCAUUGGACAAGGAUUUCAUUAUCAGCCCUUCUGUACUUUCUGUAGAAAUGCACAAACCUGAAAGUUGGUGGACAAAGUCUUGGCAAAAAGACUUUGCUUUUGUAUUAUAAACACAGCCAAAGACUUAGUUUGGAGCUGCUAGCAUCCCCAAAGAUGUCAGAAAUAUGAUUAUUCUGUACCCCCUUCCUGGUGCAGUGAGCUGGGGCCACGCACUGACAUGCCAUCCAGCCUGUGCCAUGCAUGUGUGCAAGCGGUACCCAAAUGCCGUGACCUCCUGUUUACCUUACCACAUACUUCCACAGCAGGUCAGGGAAAGACUCCUCUGAAAAUUAGGUGCUUGAUGACUGCAGAGGGUGAGAAUCUUGCUUUCAUGUCACAGCUGGGUGUGAUGCCUUCAUGGGAGUACGAGAAAAGGCUCAAGGAAAUCAGUUACAUCCAUUCUAUUGCCUAAGACACUUCCUGCAGCUACUGACUUGCCUUAGACUUACGAAUCCAAAUGCUGACCCUGCCUGACCCUACUUAUCUUUUAAAAGCUGACAAGAUCACAGCCUGAAGCAGUAUAGCCACAGGCUCAAUACUGGCUACCAAAAUGUCUGUUUAGUAUUUUCAAAAACGCUGCUCUUAAGAUUUACAAUACAAGCUUCUGGAUGUAUGGACAACACCGAAACACAACUCUGACCCCUGAACGUUCAGCCCCACUUACACAGAAAUUUGUGCCUCUCGAGGGGCCAGCACUGAGUUGCUGCAAAACAGUUAUUCCUUACCUGCAAGUGAGCUGGAAUUGAAGCGUCAUAGGGUUGUAUGCAUUCAGAUACUGGGUAAAAAUAUUUGAAAACUACAGCCUCGAUUUCAGAACUCAUUGUCAGCUUCUUUCAUUAUCUGCAUUACUGCUUUAACAGUAGAAAGAGUUCGGCCCUUUCUGUGUAAUAUCUUUUUUGGUUUAAUAUAGAAAAUCAUCCCAAUUCUUCUAUGACCAAAGCAGUUUUUCAUCAGAGGUUGGUUUUAGAUGAACUGUAAGUUUCUUCCCUAGCAAUGAAAGAAAACACAUAUUUUUCUGAAUAUUUCUAAGGUUAAAUGGAUAAACACAGUUUUAAAUACUCAGGAUAAACUAAAGGACCAAUCUAGUUUAGUUGUUUGUGCUUUUUAUAUAAAUUCAUAAUUCUUGCAGAGUGUUUUUUUCUUUUUUCUUUUUUCUUUUUUUUUUGUGUGUUUUUUUAAACAGCAAAGACAUGGAAGAAACACUGAGGUCUUAUUGCUCCUGUUGGAAACUUCUGCUGACUACAGCAAGAGUUGGACUGGGCCCAGAGAAACCAAAUACACACAAGUUGCAAUGAGUUGGCCAUACAAGCAAGGAAAAUCACAGAUAACAGAUGCGCACAAAUUAGUAAUGUACCUUUUAGGUCAUCCAGUAGAGCUUGCUGACACAUUGAGAUUGUCUCCUAUGGCGUAUUUUUUGUUGCUUUGGAUGCCUGGAUCAAAUGUCCUAAGUAAUAUCAUGUACUUAAGGAGAGAUUGUGCUGCCUAGUAUAUCCUGUUAAAAGUUUUUUUUCCUUUCUUAACAUCAUCAUAUUUCUCCCAGUUACAUUCCUUUGCAAACCUCCUUAUUUCCUUUCUACAAUGCUAUUUUUCUCCAGUGUCUUUAGACAAAUGUGAUGUUCCAUUUAGUUAACAUUAAGUCAGUUCAUACCUAUUUAGAUUAUUUAAUCUUUUCUGAUAAAUCAGUCUUUUCAGUCUCCUGGUUAUUUUCUCAUCUCCUCUUGUCCCACUCCUGUCUGCCAGUAUCUUUUUUAGCUAUAAGUUUUAAAGAUGUGGUGCAUUUAUCUAACAGCAGGUCUGGCACAGACUUGAGCACUCUCAAUAUCUUCUCACUGAAAACCACUCCUGAUGCGCUCAAGGGAAAGUCACUGGCAUUCUGAGGAGACAAGCAGGCAGAGCAUCCUGUUCAAAUCAUUUCCUUGGUACCACCUGUUUUACUGAUCAACAACAACAAAAAACAUUAGAACACUUAGCCUAGUGAUUGAAAAACCAAAUAUAGGUCACUAUAGAUUAAUUAUAUUUGUUUUUAUAGCACUAGGAAAUACAAUGGCAGAGAGCAAAAUGUAUUUCUUCUCAAUAUUUUCAAACUCUUGGUUGUGGACAUCACAAUCUAAAAUUAUGGAAGACACUGUCUUGUCUAGUAACUAUAUUUGGGUGCCACUGGAGUACACUGUAGAAAGUAAUUAUAUAUGUAGUCACAAGCCUAGCUUUUCACUUCAGGCAAUAAAUUCUGAUCAACAAACAACACUCCUUUAGUGCUAAAUGAAAUCUUGGCUGUAAUUGAACGUCUUUACCUUUGUGUUCUGUUGGAUUGGAGGAAUAUCAUUUUAAUCUGCUCUCUUUAAAUUUUCAUUAAGGAACGUUUCAGCUACCUGCAGCCUCAUCUGAUGAUGUUUAAUGAUAUCAGCUGGCGCAUUCUUCCGUGCACCAGCAGGGGCUUCUUUAAAUUGGUCAACUGCACAGAACAUUGUUUUUGUGUUUAAUGUACUUGGAAUCAGCCUUUUAAAAUAAUGAUGUCAGACAGUUUAUAUACGUAGCGCACACACAUAUGUGCAUGUGUAUGUAUGCGUAUAUAUGCGUAAGUGCACACAUACAUAGAGAAACACUGAUCCUAUUCACCUUCUUGAAAACAUUUCAGCUAGUAUUAGCAUAAAUGUGCUGUUAAGUUGGCAGUGUUAUACAUUUUUGUUGGAGUUUACUUCUGUAACCUAAAAUCAGGCAGAUAAGCUGUGAAACUCAUGCAGCUGAUGACAUAAUGCUGGGAUCUCAUGAUGCUGAAUCUCAUAUUUCUAGGCAUAAAGGAUGGAUGUUCCUUUCUGGAAUUAUUAUGCCUCCUAUUGCAAUAUAUAUUUCUUGUUCUCAUGUGGGCACUGAGAUGUUCAAACCAUUAAAUGUGUAUGGUAUAAUGAGUCCUGUGUUCCUUAUUUAUUCUAAAGAAGGCAUUAACUUUCUAUGGUUGUUUUAUUGUAUAAUAAAGCCUACUACUCUAAGAAUCUGUGAUGAACAUAGCAAUAAGCUGUGACAAUAUGCAUAGUUACAUUUAAUGCUGAUGUCCAAAUGUACAUAUGUGCAUAUAAAUAAGCAUAUAUGUAUAUUCAAGCACUCAAAGAUAGACACACAAAUUAUAUACAAUCAAUUAGGAUGUGGCAUAAGCAGAUUCAAAGCUUACCUGUUAUGGCUUUGUAAAGGGGGAAAUCUGAGCCACAAAGACACACGUGAAAGUAAAGCUCAAUAUACACCAUUGGCUCGUUACCAUUAUGCUCAACAGUGACAGGCUGUAUGCUAAGACGGGGUACCAGCAGACAUUCGCCAUGACAGCUGGUUCAAAACAGAGCUUUCAAAAUAGUGCAACACCCCUCACUUCCUUCCAAAUCCUGGUGUUUGCCAGCAGCACUUAGCUGAGGCUGGCUCUGAAGGUCAGAUGUUCAGAUAAAAGUUGCUUGAAAUGAAUCUGCUUCUUUGUGUUUGGACUGUAUAUAUGUUCAGCAUAGCAUCUAGGAUCUUUGUGAAUUUGUGUUUGAGUUAACACAUGAGUAGUGCUUGCCUAUUACCUGAAAAAAUGAUGGAUGUUUCUCCCCGACACCAUGCUCUAUUUGCCUGAGAUUGUCCUCUAUCAAAUUCUCCUUUCUUUUGUGGGCUACGUAAAAUGAGAGCCAUACACAGGCUUCUUGUUUUCACCAGAAAAAAAAAAAAAAAAAAAAAAAAGCACAACCCCUCUGUUGAGAAAUGGAAGCAAAAUGGUUUCUCUUUAACAUCACCCACAUCACACACAGUGCUUAACCAAUUAGGGACAAAGCAUAAAAAAUACUUAGUUUGUCCUGUGUGACUUUUCUCAGUAGAUACAUAUAGAAUCUGGAAAUAAACACACUCCUCCUUGGGAAGGAAAUGCAAACAGGGUUUAUCUAUUUGCAUUUGAACUCAGUGAAAAAUAACCAGGCACAAAAAGCAAGCUUGAAGAUAGGACAUGAGUAUAAGUAAAGCUAAAUUUCAGCAAGCCAAAUUCUGCCACGCUGUUAUAAUUGCUAUGCAAAACACGAGCUAAUUCACUGUUCCAUUGUGCUGGUGAAAUAGGUAUGCAUUAUAUAUGGGGUAGGUAGGGGAGCUUACACAGGGAUGCUGUUGACUUUGCUGAGCAGCCAGUGUGUGGAGAGCACGCCAUCAACAACCUUGUGAAAAUGAGGCUGGUGAACCGGCUUGGUCUCAGAAAUGACUUCAGAGUGGGUAGAAUAAUAUUUAAAAACUAUGAUAAAUUAUAGCUGCAGCACAAGAAUACUAAGUGUGUGAAGUUUACCAUUUCACCUGAGGACCCCAAGACCCGAGUGUCAGAUCUUCAGAGGAAUUCAGACAGCUAAACGUGCUGCUGCCUGGGGAUCUUCAGUGCUUCCCAGACACAUCCCUCCUAAUGCAAUCAAGGAGAUCCAGGUAUCAGGGCUCUUCAGAAAAGCAUUGAUCAGUCUCUCGGGCAGCUCCACUGCAUUCCCAGAGUAUUGACCCUGCUUCAGCUGGAGAUGCCUCUGGGGAGGCGCUGAGGUGAAUGGGAUGAGGCUGUGCUCAUUUCUGGAGGAGGUACAGCUCUCCUGCAAGCCAGAGGCAUGAGCAGGGCUGUUUCGCCGCAGCAGGCCUGCUGGGCUUACUGAUGCUCAGCUCGCCAGCUCCAGUGGUACGCGAACAGUGUGGAUACGCAUUGUGGCUGGCGAUGCUCCUGUUUGACAUCAGCCUUCCCUCCUGGAUCAGGGCCGCUGCUGAUUGCUGAGGGGUGGCCAGGAGCAGCUCCCUCUGGUGAACCUCUUUUGUGCUUUUAUCUCCCUCCUCUUGGCAGUGAGCUGCCACUGGCUGUCAGCCACGGCCCACUCGCCCUCCCCAGUGCCCAGCCGGCAUGCUCAGCCAGUGCCUACUUCUCUUCCAGCAGCUGGUCCUACUUCUCCUCCACAGCUGGCUGCUGCCCCCUACUGUGGUAAUUAUUAUUUAUGAUGGAUAUUCAGUGUACAUUAUGUGUCCAGAGUCCAGUACCAUCUGAGUCAGUACCAGGUUCCUACUGUGUGGGCAGAAGCACACAGCAAUACGCCAUUGUUCCACGUGUAUACCCACCCGACUCUCAUGCAAGGAUGGACU